UGGGUAACCUGCCUCAAAGAGGGGAAUAGCCUCCCGAAAGGGAGAUUAAUACCGCAUAAUAUGUUUUAAUCGCAUGAUUUUAACAUCAAAGGAUUUUCUUAGGAAAUUCCACUUUGGGAUGGACCCGCGGCGCAUUAGCUAGUUGGUGAGGUAACGGCUCACCAAGGCAACGAUGCGUAGCCGACCUGAGAGGGUGACCGGCCACACUGGGACUGAGACACGGCCCAGACCUCCGUACGGGAGGNAGCG
rnacentral:rRNA from 1 species